UAAGCAGGAUCACAGCUGUUUUGGAGGAUAGGAUCAACAGUCAGCACUAUCUUGCUAAAUUAGAGAAAAGGGUUGCAUUCUGAAAAAUUAGCAGAUAAAAGAAGGAUGGUUUAAGUAGCAGAUCAGAGUCAAACGCACAAAGGUAGAAGAGAGAAGUUGUCUAGAUAGUAAUAUAACAGAGUAACAUUCAGGGAAUAAAAUGAAUAAGGAAGACAUUGAUUCUGAUAUACUGCAUUGGGUGUACCACAUAAGAAAAUGGAAGCAGAUUGUUCUGACCUACUAUUGACUUAGCUAGGAGUUGUGUAUUUGAUUUAGUGCUUUAUGUUUUUUUAACAGGGAAAACAAGGAAAUUUCAGUAGAGGUCAGAAGACACCUAAAAUAUUAGAAGCCUUGGAAAACAAAGAAAAGGAGAAAGAAUGCAUAAGAAUGAACAGCACAUGGUUCCAGUCUUAAGAGGAAGUUACCAUGGUAUUUUAUUCAAGAAAUCUUUUGUAAGCAGCAGGGGGACAGAAGGACAGAUUUGGACAACUUUUGGACGAGAUGACUUGUAUCCUCAGACCACGUUCUGAUGCUUUCUUAAGCACACGAGCCCACAACAUUAUGCACGGCAAGGUGUCAAAAGACUUUGCUUAUGAGAACAGACAAUUGGAUUAAAUGUGUGUUAAAUACAGGAAGAACUGAAAUAGCAUGAUGGAGUGACCUACUCAAAUCAGUGUGCCUUGGUUGGAUCACUAAAUACCUGCAAUACCACAAGGGAAGAAAAGAGAAAAACAACAAUCAGCAGUGUGCUGCACAUAGUAUGCACAAGAAAAUAAAACCUUACCCACCCACUGCUACCAUGUGAAUGGGAAAAAGCAUUGGGAAACUUGGAAUUGCUCUUGUUAGGAGGAGAAUACAGAAAUCUUGACAUUUGAAACAGUGAGGACAUGUCAUAUCCAGAUCUACUUGGAGAUGCACAGGUGAGCUCAAGAUGAUGGAGGAUAUAAUCACUAAUGAUUGUGUACAGGGCUGACACUCUGUUUUGCCACUUGCUGCUCAAAUAUACACACAGUAUGUGUGAUAGUCUUAGAUGGAUGAAAAUUGCAGGUAGACAGCACAGCAGGUCUGCUAUGAACUGAAGUCAGUCUUCCAGUUGAGGAUGUGUCAUUGUUUUUGUUUCUGAGUUUUCAGGUUUUCCUUUUCUCCUCCCACUGCUGAAAUAAGAGUCCUGAUGGUCUGGCUUCUCCCCCUGGAGUGUCUUCUGGCUGCCUUUGUUCAUGAUUGGCCUCCAGUUCCUUUGAACUCUUCUGCUGAAAGUGCAUUUCUGCUUCUUGAGUAUGCCUUAUAUCAGCUACUGGUUCUCUUCUGCAUAGUACUUUCAUACACUGUCUCCCCUCACAUUCAGUUCUUGGACACUUUUCCUAGGCUUAGAGCACAGCCACUAAGCAAGCAAGGCAGUGAGCAGUGAGAAAGUUGCAAUAAGACCUAAAGCAUAUAGAAUAAUAUGCUUGGGGCAGAAAUUCCUGCCGGAUUAUGACUGCUUUAACAGUAGAUUGAUUUUCUGAAUAAGCAGGAUCUUUUCUUCAGCAAGAACCAACACCGGGUAAAUAACAAUUACAAUUUUAUCUGGAUUUUUAUUAGGUGAAUGUUAAGUUUAUUACAUUAGCUUUGUCUGGUCAUGCCAGCAUCAGUCAAUGAUGAUUUGAAAGCAUUAAGGUGAAUGUAGGGGAGAAAAAAGUAACAAUGGGACAAUAAUGAAACAUAUCCAUGAACUUGCCCAAUUCAAAUGAGUUCUGUUUUUUCAGUGUAUGAGGACCGUAGGCUGCAGAGCUAUUUAGAGAGGUGCUAUUCUUUUAAUUCAUGGUAAAAGGAGUACUAUCAAUGCUGUGACUUUUUUCUAAGAAAGAAGAUUUAAGAAACAUAUGGAGAGCGGCACAUUUGAUCUGUUCACCAAAGCUACAAACACACAAAUCUCUAGUUAUAUGUUUUCCAAAGGAUUUUUGAUUGAGGCAGUUAUAUAAUUUCAAACAGAGAUGAGAGAAUUUCUGAACUGCAAGAAAGCUUUAUUUCUGUAUUCUUUUAAAUCCAAAGAUGAGCUUAGUACUGUCAGAAUAAAGAGAAGAAAUGUACUCUUCAAAAAGUUAUCUAUCUGGUUAUGUGUAUGAGAGAUUGAAAUGGAAGAAAACUUUGUUAAUACCAUUUCAUAUUAUAGCAGAUUAAUUUGUAUAUGACAGUUUAAGUUUUCUUAAUUGAUGAUUAGCUGUGUAAUUUUUUGAUUGUUUGUUUGAAAUGAGGAAUGGGUCUGAGAAGCUAUCAUUCUUGGAAACCUAACUUAGCUAGCACUACUUGUGCUAGUGAGUACUGGGCAAAGAUUAUAAGGAAAUUUGUCCCUUUAAACAGUGGAUAAAAAGGUUAUAAAGAAAUAACAAGUAACUAUGACAUUUCUGACAGAUAGUUUAGCACUUAUUACCUUUCACUGUAGGCUAAUGCUAGGUAGUAUGUUAUUCUUUGCUUGCACUUUUUGUAUCCAUGCUCACCAUAUUUUAUCUGUUGAUGACUUAAGGCCUACUUUUAUGCAUUUUCAAGUGAAGACAAAUAAAACACAGGGCAGCAAUUUUUUUUUUGUACUUCUCAGUGAUCUCACAGUGUCUACAGUGCUUUUGGUUGAACAGCAAGAAUUAUAGCAAACCUACUGGAU